rnacentral:rRNA from 1 species
UACGUAGGGUGCAAGCGUUAAUCGGAAUUACUGGGCGUAAAGCGUGCGCAGGCGGUGAUGUAAGACAGGUGUGAAAUCCCCGGGCUAACCUGGGAACUGCAUUUGUGACUGCAUCGCUGGAGUGCGGCAGAGGGGGAUGGAAUUCCGCGUGUAGCAGUGAAAUGCGUAGAUAUGCGGAGGAACACCGAUGGCGAAGGCAAUCCCCUGGGCCUGCACUGACGCUCAUGCACGAAAGCGUGGGGAGCAAACAGG